ACAAGCCUGGGAUGUGCGUGAGCUUUAGAAGUGUCUAACCUACAUUUUUCCUAGGGAGCUUGAUUUGAUUCCGGCAGAUGCCCGCCUCGGCGACUGCAGAAACCGGACUUAAGGCACCCACCUGCUAGCCGCAGGUUUUAGGCAUUUAAAGCGAACGGCACCCUGGACCCCUG
rfam:Mitsuokella multacida DSM 20544 genomic scaffold Scfld0, whole genome shotgun sequence.